rnacentral:rRNA from 1 species
UACGUAGGGUGCAAGCGUUGUCCGGAAUUAUUGGGCGUAAAGAGCUCGUAGGCGGUCUGUCGCGUCUGCUGUGAAACUCAGGGCUUAACCCUGAGCUUGCAGUGGGUACGGGCAGACUAGAGGUGCGGUAGGGGAGACUGGAAUUCCUGGUGUAGCGGUGAAAUGCGCAGAGUAUCAAGGAGGAACACCGGUGGGCGAAGGCGGGUCUCUGGACAGUUCCU